rnacentral:rRNA from 1 species
GACGAACGCUGGCGGCGUGCUUAACACAUGCAAGUCGAACGGAAUCCAUGGUGUAGCAAUACACCGGAAGAUUUAGUGGCGAACGGGUGAGGAUCACGUGAGAAACGUGCCCCAGACUCUGGGAUAACAAUUGGAAACGAUUGCUAAUACCGGAUGACGUCGGAGAAUCGCAUGAUUCACUGACGAAAGAUAUUUCGGUUUGGGAGCGUCUCGCGUCCUAUCAGCUUGUUGGUGGGGUAAUGGCCUACCAAGGCAACGACGGGUAGCUGGUCUGAGAGGAUGAUCAGCCACACUGGGACUGAGACACGGCCCAGACUCCUACGGGAGGCAGCAGUGGGGAAUCUUGCGCAAUGGGCGAAAGCCUGACGCAGCAACGCCGCGUGCGGGAUGAAGGCCUUCGGGCUGUAAACCGCCUUCAGCAGGAACGAAAAUGACGGUACCUGCAGAAGAAGGAGCGGCCAACUACGUGCCAGCAGCCGCCGUAA